rnacentral:rRNA from 1 species
UGGGGAAUAUUGCACAAUGGGCGCAAGCCUGAUGCAGCCAUGCCGCGUGUGUGAAGAAGGCCUUCGGGGUGUAAAGCACUUUCAGCGGGGAGGAAGGCGAUAAGGUUAAUAACCUUGUCGAUCGACGUUACCCGCAGAAGAAGCACCGGCUAACUCCGUGCCAGCAGCCGCGGUAAUAUGGAGGGUGCAAGCGUUAAUCGGAAUUACUGGGCGUAAAGCGCACGCAGGCGGUCUGUCAAGUCGGAUGUGAAAUCCCCGGGCUCAACCUGGGAACUGCACUCGAAACUGGCAGGCGAGAGUCAUGUAGAGGGGAGUAGAAUUCCAGGUGUAGCUGUGGAAUGCGUAGAGAUCUGGAGGAAUACCGGUGGCGAAGGCGGCCGCCUGGACAAAGACUGACGCUCAGGUGCGAAAGCGUGGGGAGCAAACAGG